UGCGGAGGGAUCAUUACACAAAGAUAUGAAGGUAGGGUACUGGCAACAGUGCUCUGCUGAAAUAUUUUCACCCAUGUCUUUUGCGCACUUUUUGUUUCCUGGGCGAGUUUGCUCGCCACCAGGACCCCCAUAUGAACCUUUUUUGUUUUUGCACUCAGCGUCAGUACAAUAAUUUAAUCUAUUAAAACUUUCAACAACGGAUCUCUUGGUUCUGGCAUCGAUGAAGAACGCAGCGAAAUGCGAUACGUAGUGUGAAUUGCAGAAUUCAGUGAAUCAUCGAAUCUUUGAACGCACAUUGCGCCCUUUGGUAUUCCAAAGGGCAUGCCUGUUCGAGCGUCAUUUGUACCCUCAAGCUUUGCUUGGUGUUGGGCGUCUUAUUGUCUCUCCGUCUCGGGGAGACUCGCCUUAAAACAAUUGGCAGCCGGCCUACUGGUUUCGGAGCGCAGCACAAAUUUGCGCUUGCAAUCAGCCAAGGGCGGCAUCCAUGAAGCCUUUUUUCUCUCACAUUUUGACCUCGGAUCAGGUAGGGAUACCCGCUGAACUUAAGCAUAUCAAUAGCCGGGGAGGAA
rnacentral:rRNA from 1 species